AGUGAACGCUGGCGGUAGGCCUAACACAUGCAAGUCGAACGGCAGCACAGUAAGAGCUUGCUCUUACGGGUGGCGAGUGGCGGACGGGUGAGGAAUACAUCGGAAUCUACUUUUUCGUGGGGGAUCACGUAGGGAAACUUACGCUAAUACCGCAUACUACCUACGGGUGAAAGCAGGGGAUCUUCGGACCUUGCGCGAUUGAAUGCGCCGAUGUCGGAUUAGCUAGUUGGCGGGGUAAAGGCCCACCAAGGCGACGAUCCGUAGCUGGUCUGAGAGGAUGAUCAGCCACACUGGAACUGAGACACGGUCCAGACUCCUACGGGAGGCAGCAGUGGGGAAUAUUGGACAAAGGGCGCAAGCCUGAUGCAGCCAUACCGCGUGGGUGAAGAAGGCCUUCGGGUUGUAAAGCACUUUUGUUGGGAAAGAAAAGCAGAAGGUUAAUACCCCGCUGUUCUGACGGUACCCAAAGAAGAAGCACCGGCUAACUUCGUG
rnacentral:rRNA from 1 species